UGAGCUCUAUGAAGUGGAUGUGUUUUCAGGAUAUGUGCAGCGGAUGACUUCAUGAUCACUCUUCACGGAGCCUGGUGUAGGACAAGGAUUUCUUCGGUUUGAACCCACAUGGAGUCAUUCCAGUGACUUAAAGAAGGGAGACUAUCUACACCAACCCCAUGGCCCUGAUUGUUUUAAGGCCCUGAUUUAUCUGGGACAAAUCAACAUCAAAAAGUCACUGGUUUGCUUUGGAGGCAAUCUUGAGACCGGUUGGUAGUCGUUGAGGCUCCGGUUCCCUCAGCCACCAACACAUACAACAGAAACCUAAAAACAGUGUUUGCGUAGAGAGGAACUUAUGUGUUCGUUCUGGGAUAAAUCUGAGACAGCAGUUACAAUCCUCUAUUCCCCAUGUUUCUUGUAGAAAAA